GACCCGAAUCUCACUGACACUUAGCUCGGGAAGCCCUGGGGGCCGGACUGUUGUUUUGUUCUGGCUCCACAGAAACUGUCUCAGGCAAAGACUUCGAUGUCCCAGGAAAGGUGCCCUGGCCGGAGGACCGAGCCAGGAAGGGAGAGCACCCGGUAUCCCAGAGAGUGAGGGAGAGAGGCGGGAAGGUGCACAAGCAGCGCCAGAAGGGAAUGUCACACCUGGAAAGAGCAAAUCCCCAGAGCAACCAGGAGGAGGCGCCCUACCUGUAAUUAUCCUGACAACCGCUGAUUAUUUGUAACAAAAAUCAGAACCCCCGCUACGCACACUGACCUGCCAGACGUGUGUAACGGUGGCAACAUCAAAAAAGAAACCCGGCAGCCACCAGAUGCAAAACAGGAUCCUGGAGACAGAGUCAGAACAUCCAGAAAACCCACCACUGAAAGCAGCAGAGAUCCCAAUUCCAGGGAUCCUGCCCCGUGAGAACACAAGCCAGAAUCAGCUCCAGAGGCUGACUGCUAAAUUGCAGGGGAAAACGCAGAGCUAAUGGAAAACCUACAGGUUUCCGGUAUCCGGUCCAGCUGUGAGAAACAGCUGUAGGGUGAUAAAGGGGAAUCAGCUAUUUCACUGUGCAACAUCGCAUGUGAGAAAGGAGAAGAAAGAUCAUCUUUUGAAGAGACCCCAGCCGAUAGGACCGGAAGCAGGAACUGCUGCAGUGAGAGGAGGAGAAUAACUGCAGAAUAAGAG